GGGGAGGUGCCAGAGUGGUUGAAUGGGACGGUCUCGAAAAUCGUUGUAGGCUUCGGCCUACCGUGGGUUCGAAUCCCACCCUCCCCG
rnacentral:tRNA from 1 species